AAAUUCAAAUCUACUUCCCUCCCCUAAUCUUCUCACUUUUAUCCCAAACCCUAUCACCUAUCUUCAGUGUUUGCUCUCCACACUCUCCCCUAAUCGACUAUCGCAAAAUAUAUUUUUCGAUCACAACACUGUGGAAACCGCCAUCUUCGAUCUUUUACAAUUACCGAUCAUCACCGAUUACGCCUAUCCCCAAGCGUCACUCCAAACUCGUUUGUAAAUUUGACAGAAGCAUCAGGUGGUUCUGAUUACGGUAGGAUUUCAAUUGGGUGAGGUAAUUUUAUAUAUUUAUCUUAAUCCUAUACUAGAGAAUGGUUCUACAAUUCUCAUUUAUUUGAAAACUAGUGGAUGAUAUAAUAUCUUAACCCAUUUGGUUUGAUUAUGCUGCAUAUUUUCAUUGCUUUGACCUACACUCAUUACUUUCUUUGUGGGUCAUCGAACUUUGAUAAAAGAAUACUGAGUCAAGUAAAUUUGGGUUUUCUUUCAGCAAUUUAAUCAUUCGUAUUUCAAUAAUUAUGAUGUGUGUUUGCCUCGAGAUACUUUGUUUAGAUUGUUUUGUAACUUUCGUGAGAUCUUUUGUGCACAACUCAAAGAUAUAAUGAUAUCUAUCAUGAUUUACCAUGACAGUUUUUGGGGUAGGCUGUUAAGCAACAUGAUUAGACCACCCGUAGUGGGCGUCUUCUCCCCCCAAACACGCCUAAAAAUGCCACCGCCCCCACCCUCGUCGGCGUGUUUGGGCGCUUUCUUUCAUACCCCCCCCCCUAGCGUUUUUCAAAUCACGCUUGGAGCAAUUUUGAAUGGCCAAUCACAUUUAUUUAUUGGAUAAGUUCUUAAUUGUUGGCUCUUGCCUACAUCUUUUGGUUUAUCCAACUAGUAUAUGUAUUUAUUGGAUUAAAAAAAAAUGAAGCAGAAGAAAAGGCAAACAAACAAUGUAUAUCUUUUGGAGUGUGAGUAGCAUUUUUCUACUCAACAUUUACUUGACAUUUAUCUUUAUAAUGUUUGGAUAUAAAAUGGUAUCUGUAGUUAACAUCAAAUUAUGACAAAUGGAUUUAUAGGAAACUAGCCAUGAAAAGGGAAUUUAAUACUUGUUACGGACAUGCGUCAUUCUGAUACAUUAUUUGCUUUAUUUUGAUUCUACCUAUUUGAUUAGUGGUUGUUGGAUAUGAAAGUGGGAUGCUUAACUUGCUUUGUUUGAUUAUUUAAG